ACGACUUUACUUGGACAGAAUCUGUUCUAUAGGCUUGAAAACCAAAUCUGGUGGAUGAAACAUGGCCGUUAGACCAGAGCGUGAUCAGCAGCCCCCAUAGCUUUUGAGUCAUGGAGCCAUAGAGGAUCGAUGUCAGUCUCAAUCUUGGUGUGUUGGGAUGGUCUAAUGGCUGUCCAAAAGACU
rnacentral:snoRNA from 1 species